UACGUAGGGUGCAAGCGUUGUCCGGAAUUAUUGGGCGUAAAGAGCUCGUAGGCGGUCUGUCGCGUCGGCUGUGAAAACCCGGGGCUCAACCCCGGGCCUGCAGUCGAUACGGGCAGACUAGAGUGUGGUAGGGGAGACUGGAAUUCCUGGUGUAGCGGUGAAAUGCGCAGAUAUCAGGAGGAACACCAAUGGCGAAGGCAGCUCGCUGGGACGGUACUGACGCUGAGGCGCGAAAGCGUGGGGAGCAAACAGG
rnacentral:rRNA from 1 species